UACGAAGGGGGCUAGCGUUGUUCGGAACUACUGGGCGUAAAGCGCGCGCAGGCGGCUAUCCAAGUCAGUGGUGAAAGCCCGGAGCUCAACUCCGGAACUGCCAUUGAAACUGUUUAGCUUGAGGACGAGAGAGGUGAGUGGAAUUCCCAGUGUAGAGGUGAAAUUCGUAGAUAUUGGGAAGAACACCGGUGGCGAAGGCGGCUCACUGGCUCGUAUCUGACGCUCAGGCGCGACAGCGUGGGGAUCAAACAGG
rnacentral:rRNA from 1 species